AGUGAACGCUGGCGGUAGGCCUAACACAUGCAAGUCGAACGGCAGCACAGUAAGAGCUUGCUCUUACGGGUGGCGAGUGGCGGACGGGUGAGGAAUACAUCGGAAUCUACUUUUUCGUGGGGGAUAACGUAGGGAAACUUACGCUAAUACCGCAUACGACCUACGGGUGAAAGCAGGGGAUCUUCGGACCUUGCGCGAUUGAAUGAGCCGAUGUCGGAUUAGCUAGUUGGCGGGGUAAAGGCCCACCAAGGCGACGAUCCGUAGCUGGUCUGAGAGGAUGAUCAGCGACACUGGAACUGAGACACGGUCCAGACUCCUACGGGAGGCAGCAGUGGGGAAGAUUGGACAAUGGGCGCAAGCCUGAUCCAGCCAUACCGCGUGGGUGAAGAAGGCCUUCGGGUUGUAAAGCCCUUUUGUUGGGAAAGAAAAGCAGCAGGUUAAUACCCCGCUGUUCUGACGGUACACAAAGAAUAAGCACAGGCUAACUUCGUG
rnacentral:rRNA from 1 species